CUGAGCACUGCGAACGGUGAGUGCCCAGACCCUACAUUUUAAUGUGGGUCUGGCUCGUCAGGCUAAAGGUCAGCAGUGUUCACCUUUCACAACGGUGUGUAGAUGCUAGCCGACUUUUGGGACGGAAGUGUAACGUAGCUUCACCAGUGACUUGCUCUGUCCGUUGGAAAACUGAAAAUGCAGAGCAAUGGACUGGACAUGUAAGUUGUGCUUGUUUGGAUGUGAAGUCAGAGGUCAGCUGCUCAAACACUAGAGAUUGAAACAUGGAGGUUACACCAGAAUACGACCGAAAA